GUGAAUCAUCAAAUUUUUGAACGCAAAUUGCACUUUCUGCUGUUAGGGAGAGUGUUCCUGGUUGAGGGUCUGAUAAAUCAAAAUCGUUGUUGUUGCUGGUUUUCGUGGUGAGGCGUCGGAAUUAUGUUGUCUUACCUUCGGUUAAGUGACUUAAAAUUUUGCAUGUUUUUCGAUCGUAUUUACAUUUCUUACUUUCGUUUGACAUAUCAGGUAUUUUAUUUGUUUCGGUCAUACUCAUAUUUCGGACCGCU
rnacentral:misc_RNA from 1 species